UCUCCCGGCAGCUGCUGCAGUUAGCGCCGCUGCCUCGGCUGACCCCGUCGGGUGGGAUGCAUGUGCCUUGCUGGCACGGGUCCCGCUCUCGGGGUUCCCUGCGGGCUUCCCCCGCCUCCCUCCUGGCCCCGCUUCCGGGGCCGCCUUUUAUCUCUGCCGGGCAGCAUCUCCCGCCGGCGUCGCCCGGCCCCAGCUGGAUAUAAGCGCGGCUUACGAACCGUGCUGGCGGUCUCCCCGCACGCGUGCCCCUACUCGCUCCGGCCUCUGUGUGGGGAAGUCAAGAAACUGAGACAGCCCUGUCUGAAUGGAGAUGCUUACGAAAAACAAAAUCUGCCCUGGUUUUAUGGAUAAUGUUUACACUCUGGUAUAUUGGCCAGGUGAACUGAAUAAGAGAACAAAAGGAUCAUUUGGAGAAAAAAGUGUAUACAUCAGCAAUACCGAAUAAUUCAGAUAUUUGGCAUGGGUCUCUGCUCUGCUCCUCACAACUUUAGCAAAAGAGCUGAAUAUCUAGAGAAGACUGAGGACUGUAUUGCAAUAGAUUCCAAUCGGAAUUAAAGUCCAAAGAUUUCCUAGCCUCUCAAAUACAAUUUGUGUUCAUCUGUCAUGGAGUGAAGUUACAGGUGUUAAAACAGAUGUAAGAAAUUAGAAAACAUUUGUCAUUUUUAGAAAAAAAAUCAGUACACAUUAAGCUAAGGUUACCACCUCAAAAUGUCAUCUUCAGAAAGAAUGGAAUGGAAAAAAGGGAGUGAUAUCCCAUGAGGGUUGGAUAGAUGCUGUAACAGCAGAAAAUAGAAAGAAUAUUAUACAUUUACUGUGACACCAUUCUAAAACACAGAUGUAAUGGAAAGGGAUUAGAACAGAGGACAUGUUUUUAAAUAGAGCUAUCCCUGGAGAGCCAUGGUUUCAGACUGCAAGCCUGGGCAGCUCUAGUUAGUGGGGAGGGGUGAGAAUUACCUUAAAAGUAUCUGAAGCUGUCAAACAAAAUCCCAAAGACCAGUUCUUUGAUUGCAUCCUAAAAUGUGUUCAUUGUGUUUUGAAAAUCUAUACAGUACAGUACUGCUGAACUAGCUCUCUACGAAUGUGUUUAUGUGAAGUUCAAGAGCAGUGAUAUUCCAAUAGAUGGAUAUGGAAUAAAACAUAUGUUGGACUGGAUGGAAAUAGUGAGUCACUGCCAUGGCUGAACUCAGUGAAUUUAUUUACAUAUAAAUUCUUUGUAAUCUCAUGUUGUCUCACGUGACAGCCAGUGACUCACUGUUUGUUUAUCAGUGGAAAAAAAAACACACUUUCUAAAUACUCUUGGCUCAGAUCAUCCUACUGAGCUCUGUAAAUGAAGGGGAUCUUCUCAGCAUUCAUCUCACUCUUCCCACACAGAAAGAGUGCUCAGCCUCUUCCUCUGGGCCUCACAGAGGGUGUCCAGAAAAUGCAAGUCCAUAGGCAAUGGUGGAAGGAGGGCAUUCCAGGGGCAGCCCCAGCUAUGAUAAAAAUGGUAAUGCUCAGCUUCCCCUUGGGGAAUAUAUAGAAAAGACAAUACAGCCUGGAAACCUUAUCAACUUUCCCUGUUAGUACAGCUCUAGUGAAGCCACACUGCCAGGGAUUGGGAAAAUUGGAAAACUAGAGGUACUGAGGUGCACAGCCAUCACUAGGAUGAUUCCUACCUCCCACAGAUUCGUAUAAUCAGCAAGAUGGCAUAUGCCUUGUGGACCAAAACUGUCCCCAGGACUAACAACCAGAAAAUGUGGGGCAUUUCCACAAGAGGAUUCAUAUAGAAAUGUAAUGACCCUGAGCUUUUUAGUGAGUUUCUUAACCUGGCAAGGGAUCAUAAAAUCAGAGGGAAGGGACUUUGAGGGUCAUCCCAGUGGCACUAAGAUCCAUGAUACAAAGUAUCCCAGAAAGAAAGGCUCAAACCUCUAUACCAGUGGUCAGCAUCCUUUUCCAUCAGCCAGCCAAAAUGGCCCAGCUCGGUUCCAAGGCAGGCCAGAGUGAGGACCCAGCCACCACUGCUGCUUCUCCCUACCUCCACUUCUCCCUGCUACCCUGGCUGUGGUGUGGCUUAGGACAGUUCCCCACUGCCCAGCUGCCUGGUUACAGAGAGGCAUGACACAAGGAAAGCCCCUGCCACUGAAUGCUGCUGAUGCCCCAGCUCCGCAGGCCAGAUCCAGUGGCUCCACGGGCUAUGUUUUGCUCACCUCUUCUGUACACCAAACUUUAAAUAAUGUAUCAUAUAGAGGGGACUUGGGGAACAAAGAAGAGAAAAAAGAAACUAAAUUAGUUUACAUUUAUAGAUUCACACAAAGAAGUUUCACUUGAACCCAGAGGUGAUCAAGAUAUAGCCCAUGGGGAGCAAUGUCACAAAAUUAACACUGCUACUGCUUUCCUGCCAAAAAUAUUCCAGUUCCCUGUGGAGCCCUUAGUGCUGGGCCCAGAGUACAGAGAUGUGUCAUCUGACCCAGGCCAGAUAAUACAGACCAUGGAUCAGCCCAACACUCUGGAUUUGGCCUGCAGAUUGUCUCCACACUAUUCACCCAGAUAAUUUGGACACCACUGCCUCACCCAAUUGUCUUUCUACAACAAAAUACAC